rnacentral:rRNA from 1 species
UACAGAGGGGCAAGCGUUGUUCGGAAUUACUGGGCGUAAAGGGCGCGUAGGCGGCCCGCUAAGUCGAACGUGAAAUCCCCGAGCUCAACUCGGGAACUGCGUCCGAUACUGGCGGGCUUGAAUCCGGGAGAGGGAUGCGGAAUUCCAGAUGUAGCGGUGAAAUGCGUAGAUAUCUGGAGGAACACCGGUGGCGAAGGCGGCAUCCUGGACCGGCAUUGACGCUGAGGCGCGAAAGCUAGGGGAGCAAACGGG